GGGCCUUGGCGGUCGCUUAUGCAUGCAGUUGAGCGAAGCUUUUCAGUAGUUUACUACAGAAAAUGACUGAGCGGCGAACGGGUGAGUAACGCGUGAGCAAUCUACCUUAGUUACUGGGAUAGCCCGAGGAAACUCGGAUUAAUACCGGAUAUUCUUAUUUUUUCACAUGAAGUUUUAAGGAAAGGUCAGCCGAACUAAGAUGAGCUCGCGUUCUAUCAGCUAGUUGGUGGGGUAAAAGCCUACCAAGGCAACGACGGAUAGCUGGUCUGAGAGGACGAUCAGCCACACUGGAACUGAGACACGGCCCAGACUCCUACGGGAGGCUGCAGCAGGGAAUAUUGUGCAAUGAGCGAAAGCUUGACACAGCGACACCGCGUGUGGGAUGACGGUUCUAGGAUUGUAAACCACUUUCAGGAGGGAAGAAAAUGACGGUACCUCCACAAGAAGACCCGGCCAACUAUGUGCCAGCAGCCGCGGUAAUACAUAGGGGUCAAGCGUUGUCCGGAUUUAUUGGGCGUAAAGAGCCCGUAGGCGGUUCAACAAGUCGGUCGUAAAAGUUUAGGGCUCAACCCUAAAAUGUCGAUCGAUACUGUUGUGACUAGGAUACGGUAGAGGUGAAUGGAAUUCCGAGUGUAGCGGUGAAAUGCGUAGAUAUUCGGAGGAACACCAAUUGCGAAGACAGUUCACUGGACCGUGAUCGACGCUGAGGAGCGAAAGCUAGGGGAGCAAACAGGAUUAGAUACCCUGGUAGUCCUAGCUGUAAACGAUGGAUACUAGAUGUAGGAACUGGAUUGACGGUUUCUGUAUCGUAGCUAACGCGUUAAGUAUCCCGCCUGGGGAGUACGGUCGCAAGACUAAAACUCAAAGGAAUUGACGGGACCCCGCACAAGCGGCGGAGCAUGCGGCUUAAUUCGAUGAUACCCGUAGAACCUUACCUGGACUUGACAUAAUAGGGAAAACUUAAAGAAAUUUAGUGUGCGUAAGCGCCCUAUACAGGUGGUGCAUGGCUGUCGUCAGCUCGUGUCGUGAGAAUGUGGGGUUAGUCCCGCACGAGGCCGCACCCCCUGUUCUAUGUUGCAGCCAGUAUGUGGGACCUCAUAGGAGACCUGCGGUGAUAACCCGAAGAGGUGGGGGAUGACGUCAAGUCAUCAUGCCCUUAUGUUCAAGCUGCACGCAUGCUACAAUUGCCAAGG
rnacentral:rRNA from 1 species